CGGUGAGGUCCGGCCAUGGAAUCCGGCCGUGCAUGUCACCCUACGGUGAUCACCGCCAUCUCCCAAUCCUGGCGCCGCUUCCAUACCCCCAUUCUGCUCCGUCUUCCGAUAUCUGCAAAAGGAGCUCGCCGCCGGCUGCCGACUACCACUGGCCUCCCAGCAUUCCACCUCCACGACGACUGCGCCUCCAUCCACCAUGGUGUGCCUCGCCGCUACAGCAGAGGUUCACAAACUGACCACCCAACCUCCCUGCAUGUCGGGGAGGUUGGUCCUCCCACCAUCAGCACCUCGAG
rnacentral:misc_RNA from 1 species